AGAGUUUGGUCCUGGCUCAGAUUGAACGCUGGCGGCAUGCCUUACACAUGCAAGUCGAACGGCAGCGCGGGAGCAAUCCUGGCGGCGAGUGGCGAACGGGUGAGUAAUACAUCGGAACGUGCCCAAUCGUGGGGGAUAACGCAGCGAAAGCUGUGCUAAUACCGCAUACGAUCUACGGAUGAAAGCAGGGGAUCGCAAGACCUUGCGCGAAUGGAGCGGCCGAUGGCAGAUUAGGUAGUUGGUGAGGUAAAGGCUCACCAAGCCUUCGAUCUGUAGCUGGUCUGAGAGGACGACCAGCCACACUGGGACUGAGACACGGCCCAGACUCCUACGGGAGGCAGCAGUGGGGAAUUUUGGACAAUGGGCGAAAGCCUGAUCCAGCCAUGCCGCGUGCAGGAUGAAGGCCUUCGGGUUGUAAACUGCUUUUGUACGGAACGAAACGGCCUUUUCUAAUAAAGAGGGCUAAUGACGGUACCGUAAGAAUAAGCACCGGCUAACUACGUGCCAGCAGCCGCGGUAAUACGUAGGGUGCAAGCGUUAAUCGGAAUUACUGGGCGUAAAGCGUGCGCAGGCGGUUAUGUAAGACAGUUGUGAAAUCCCCGGGCUCAACCUGGGAACUGCAUCUGUGACUGCAUAGCUAGAGUACGGUAGAGGGGGAUGGAAUUCCGCGUGUAGCAGUGAAAUGCGUAGAUAUGCGGAGGAACACCGAUGGCGAAGGCAAUCCCCUGGACCUGUACUGACGCUCAUGCACGAAAGCGUGGGGAGCAAACUGGAUUAGAUACCCUGGUAGUCCACGCCCUAAACGAUGUCAACUGGUUGUUGGGUCUUCACUGACUCAGUAACGAAGCUAACGCGUGAAGUUGACCGCCUGGGGAGUACGGCCGCAAGGUUGAAACUCAAAGGAAUUGACGGGGACCCGCACAAGCGGUGGAUGAUGUGGUUUAAUUCGAUGCAACGCGAAAAACCUUACCCACCUUUGACAUGUACGGAAUUCGCCAGAGAUGGCUUAGUGCUCGAAAGAGAACUGUAACACAGGUGCUGCAUGGCUGUCGUCAGCUCGUGUCAUGAGAUGUUGGGUUAAGUCCCGCAACGAGCGCAACCCUUGUCAUUAGUUGCUACAUUCAGUUGGGCACUCUAAUGAGACUGCCGGUGACAAACCGGAGGAAGGUGGGGAUGACGUCAAGUCCUCAUGGCCCUUAUAGGUGGGGCUACACACGUCAUACAAUGGCUGGUACAAAGGGUUGCCAACCCGCGAGGGGGAGCUAAUCCCAUAAAACCAGUCGUAGUCCGGAUCGCAGUCUGCAACUCGACUGCGUGAAGUCGGAAUCGCUAGUAAUCGUGGAUCAGAAUGUCACGGUGAAUACGUUCCCGGGUCUUGUACACACCGCCCGUCACACCAUGGGAGCGGGUUCUGCCAGAAGUAGUUAGCUUAACCGCAAGGAGGGCGAUUACCACGGCAGGGUUCGUGACUGGGGUGAAGUCGUAACAAGGUAGCCGUAUCGGAAGGUGCGGCUG
rnacentral:rRNA from 1 species